UCUUCAUGCUUCUGUUCUUUCACUCUGUACAGCGGAAGAAACUAGAUUAAAGCCAGAGGUUAGGUUCAAUGGGAGUUAAAUUAGUGAUGGAUUCAUCAUCUUCAAGUUGUCGCUCAAGAUCAGUGUCAAACACGAGCAUGGAAAGAAGUAGACAAGGGUUCAAUGGAAUAAAAGCUAUACGAUAGUGGAACGAUUAGCAAAACAAUCUGGGGUGAAGGUUUGUAAUUGUGGUUUGGAGUGCGAAUAUUUUACUUCUAUGACUGAUGAUAAUCCAGGACAGAGGUUCUACAAAUGCCGCAAUCAGCAUGCUGGUGGUUGUGGCAUUUGGGAAUGGAUUAACGAACCAAUGUGUAGUGUUGGAUGUCAAUUGUUUCCGCUUCUAAGAGAGGAGAUCAAAGAUUUGAGGAAUAUGUUGCUGUUGAAGGAGGAGUUACUUUAAAGGUGUGAAAAUCAGCUAAGAGGAUGCAAUGAGCACAUUUACAAGCUUAAAGAGGAUGUCGAAUUGUCUCAACAUGAGGCUGAUUAUUGUUUGGAAGAAGUGCAAAAAAUGAUGAAAGAAAGAUUAGAAUUGCACGAAAAGAUUGCAGAAGAAAAAAUGAUUAUUAAGUUUAUUUUGUUAUUAGGAAUGUUUACACUCUGUUUAAUUCUGUAUGUUGUAAUGUGAAGAUGGUUGUAAUGUAAAAGUGGUUGUG